AGUGAUUGUCCCUUCGGGGACAUCCGAUAAAAUUGGAACGAUACAGAGAAGAUUAGCAUGGCCCCUGCGCAAGGAUGACACGCAUAAAUCGAGAAAUGGUCCAAAUUUUUUUUGGCAAAAAUUUUCAGAUUUUUUCUUCAUCUGUAGAUU
rnacentral:sRNA from 1 species